rnacentral:rRNA from 1 species
UACGUAGGGACCAAGCGUUGUUCGGAAUUACUGGGCGUAAAGGGCUCGUAGGUGGCCAACUAAGUCAGACGUGAAAUCCCUCGGCUUAACCGGGGAACUGCGUCUGAUACUGGAUGGCUUGAGUUUGGGAGAGGGAUGCGGAAUUCCAGGUGUAGCGGUGAAAUGCGUAGAUAUCUGGAGGAACACCGGUGGCGAAGGCGGCAUCCUGGACCAACACUGACACUGAGGAGCGAAAGCCAGGGGAGCAAACGGG